rnacentral:lncRNA from 1 species
AGGGAUUUGAGAGGGCAGAAAAGGGGGGGGGGUUGGCAGGGAAGGCAGAGCUCAGAUUUUUGGGGGGCAGAGCCUGAAAAUUUUGGGGAGGUUUAGUGGGGGCAGAGCUGAGAGUUUUGAGGGGACAAAGCCCAAGAGGUUUGGGGGGGCACAUCAAGGGGUUUGGGGGGACAGAGCUGAGGGAUUGAGGGGGGCAAAACUCAGGGAUUUGGAGGGUCAGAGCUCAGAUUUUGGGGGUCAGAGCUUAGAUUUUGGGGGUCAGAGUUCAGAUUUUGGGGGGUCAGAGCUCACAUUUGGAGGGGGCGUCCCCGAGGAUUUGGGGGCCCGGGUGGGAGCGCCGGGGAUCCCCCGGGAAAACGGGGGGUGUCCCCCCAUCCCUGGAUCCAGGGAUCCCCUGGAUCGACCCCUCGCGCGGGGAGGACGCGGAACGAGCCCCCCCUUUGUUCCCUUCCAUCCGGGAGGGUUUUGGGGGGCGAUUCCCGAUCCCUUCCGUGAUUCCCGGUCCCUCCCGCGGCGUUUCCCGGUCCCCAUCCAGGAUUUCCUCCCCGCGGGCUUCUCCCUCUUUUCCUGCCCCCCGGCCCCCAAACCCUCCUUCCCGGUGCCUUUUCCCACCUCAAACCCGGUAGGAAAACUUUCCCAUUGCCGGGAUAACACGGAGCAGGAGAUUCCACCCCCUUCCCUGGGGCCCUUUCUGGUUUUUGGGGGGGGGCACAGCCCCCUCCCCACCGGGAUUUGGGAAGCGAGGCAGCACAAUUCCCCUUCCCAGCAGGAAAUCCCAUAGGAUUUCUCCUCCCCAGGGAUGAGGAUUUCGGAUUCCUCCUCCCCAGGGAAAAAUCCAUUCCCAGAUUCCCCAAAUCGGGUGCUUUUCCAUCCCCUCGGAGCCUGGAAAAGGGAUCUGUGAUGGCGGGGAGGGGGGGUAUUGCCGGGAAAAGGGGAGGAGGAGGAGACGGGAAUGUGGGAGUGGGGAGGAAGAUCCAUUGGCUUUUCCGCGGCCGUUGUGAUCUGGUUUUUUUUGAUAUCUU